rnacentral:rRNA from 1 species
GGAGGUCACGGCGAGACGAGCCGUUUAUCAUUACGAUAGGUGUCAAGUGGAAGAUGGCCUUCAACAAAAAAAAGUGGAAGGUGGCCUUCAACAAAAAAAAAGUGGAAGGUGGCAGUAAUGUACGCAGCUGAGGCAUCCUAACAGACCGGGAGACUUGAAC